ensembl:lncRNA
GAAGAGGUUUCACCCUCCAGCUUGCAGGCUACACCUCACAAGAACUGUACAGUUUGUAUGCUAUGACCAGGGGGAGAGUGAGGAUAUUGAAUUAUCACUCACCUCUGACUCUAAUGAUAGCAUUGGCAUCAUGUUGUGGCAACAUCUAAAAGCAUUGGUUUGCAGUGGAGACUCAUUUGUCACAUAUUUAAAGAACAGCUCCUCUGUAUGCAGCUCCACCAUGGUGUCACAAGACACAAAGUUUGCCAAAGAAGCCAAGUUAAGCUUGGUAAACUACACAGACUCGGAUGAAUCAGCCGUCAGUUCCAACACUAAUGAAGAUGUUCCCUCAUCCACCAUACAG